CCCCUCUCAGGGUCGCACCAGGAGAGUUUCCACUACUCUACCAGUCUCGGCUACGGGAGGGAGAGUCGAGCAGAGGCCCGCCCGUUCCAUUCCUAGCUCGGCCAGCGGCUAGAGAGUGGAAGGCCAUCUGCCGCAAGU